AACCCCACCAAUGGGCAAAGGGACAUCUUGGUGGAAUGUUCUUAUAUCAGUCAUGGGCAGAGCAGAUGGCAGUCCCUUGUUCAUCCUGGCUUGAUACUUGGCAUGUGGCCAAAGCUGUUUUAUGCCAAGGACACAUAA
ensembl:snoRNA LOC120097983 small nucleolar RNA SNORA48